GAUGAACGCUGGCGGCGUGCCUAAUACAUGCAAGUCGAGCGAACAGACGAGGAGCUUGCUCCUUCGACGUUAGCGGCGGACGGGUGAGUAACACGUAGGUAACCUACCUAUAAGACUGGGAUAACUUCGGGAAACCGGAGCUAAUACCGGAUAAUAUUUCGAACCGCAUGGUUCGAUAGUGAAAGAUGGCUUUGCUAUCACUUAUAGAUGGACCUGCGCCGUAUUAGCUAGUUGGUAAGGAACGGCUUACCAAGGCAACGAUACGUAGCCGACCUGAGAGGGUGAUCGGCCACACUGGAACUGAGACACGGUCCAGACUCCUACGGGAGGCAGCAGUAGGGAAUCUUCCGCAAUGGGCGAAAGCCUGACGGAGCAACGCCGCGUGAGUGAUGAAGGUCUUCGGAUCGUAAAACUCUGUUAUUAGGGAAGAACAAACGUGUAAGUAACUGUGCACGUCUUGACGGUACCUAAUCAGAAAGCCACGGCUAACUACGUG
rnacentral:rRNA from 1 species